GCGCGCCCCGAGACGGUGCUUUUGCGCGAGCGAGCUUAAGACAGCUGGCGGCGAAGAGGUCAGUGGAGAAAGCCAGCGCUCGCGGCCCUCGGAAAGAACAUUGAAAUUUGUGAAUAUCUCUGGUUCCUAAUUUUACAUCCUUGGCAAUUUGCAGAAUAUGAUCAGAAAUGGAAAAAAGAAUAAGAAGGUACCCAGAGCUAUAUGAAUAUGGAAUAACAACUUUUUUUUUUAAAGGAAACUGGAAUGUAUCCAUUUUAAGCUGACCUUCCCCAUAGUUGUCUUGUUGCAUUAACUACUUAAUUUAUUGUUGUUGCUGACAGUAAAUGGUUUUGGAAGCAUUUGGAGCUGCCAGUUUGCAAGGCAUAUAAUAAAAUCUUUUGUUAUGCUUCAUUUUCGACAGAACUAUCAUCUAGAUUGAUUUACUGGACUCAACUAGGGGGCUUUUGGCUAUCGGUAGAAGUCAAAUCCAACCUGAAGAGAAUUUACAAGCUGUAAAGGCAGCUCCAAAAGCUUUUCCAAAAAUCUUUUAGAAUAACAAUGUCUCAUUCUUUUUAUCCUCCAUAGUGCAUAGCCUGACUCCUCACAGAUAGCUCAAACUCA